GACGAACGCUGGCGGCGUGCUUAACACAUGCAAGUCGAACGGAAAGGCCCUUCGGGGUACUCGAGUGGCGAACGGGUGAGUAACACGUGGGUGAUCUGCCCUGCACUUUGGGAUAAGCCUGGGAAACUGGGUCUAAUACCGAAUAGGACCACGCGCUUCAUGGUGUGUGGUGGAAAGCUUUUGCGGUGUGGGAUGGGCCCGCGGCCUAUCAGCUUGUUGGUGGGGUAAUGGCCUACCAAGGCGACGACGGGUAGCCGGCCUGAGAGGGUGACCGGCCACACUGGGACUGAGAUACGGCCCAGACUCCUACGGGAGGCAGCAGUGGGGAAUAUUGCACAAUGGGCGCAAGCCUGAUGCAGCGACGCCGCGUGAGGGAUGACGGCCUUCGGGUUGUAAACCUCUUUCAAUAGGGACGAAGCGCAAGUGACGGUACCUAUAGAAGAAGCACCGGCCAACUACGUGCCAGCAGCCGCGGUAAUACGUAGGGUGCGAGCGUUGUCCGGAAUUACUGGGCGUAAAGAGCUCGUAGGUGGUUUGUCGCGUUGUUCGUGAAAACUCACAGCUUAACUGUGGGCGUGCGGGCGAUACGGGCAGACUAGAGUACUGCAGGGGAGACUGGAAUUCCUGGUGUAGCGGUGGAAUGCGCAGAUAUCAGGAGGAACACCGGUGGCGAAGGCGGGUCUCUGGGCAGUAACUGACGCUGAGGAGCGAAAGCGUGGGGAGCGAACAGGAUUAGAUACCCUGGUAGUCCACGCCGUAAACGGUGGGUACUAGGUGUGGGUUCCUUCCUUGGGAUCCGUGCCGUAGCUAACGCAUUAAGUACCCCGCCUGGGGAGUACGGCCGCAAGGCUAAAACUCAAAGGAAUUGACGGGGGCCCGCACAAGCGGCGGAGCAUGUGGAUUAAUUCGAUGCAACGCGAAGAACCUUACCUGGGUUUGACAUGCACAGGACGCCGGCAGAGAUGUCGGUUCCCUUGUGGCCUGUGUGCAGGUGGUGCAUGGCUGUCGUCAGCUCGUGUCGUGAGAUGUUGGGUUAAGUCCCGCAACGAGCGCAACCCUUGUCCUAUGUUGCCAGCGGGUUAUGCCGGGGACUCGUAGGAGACUGCCGGGGUCAACUCGGAGGAAGGUGGGGAUGACGUCAAGUCAUCAUGCCCCUUAUGUCCAGGGCUUCACACAUGCUACAAUGGCCGGUACAAAGGGCUGCGAUGCCGUGAGGUGGAGCGAAUCCUUUCAAAGCCGGUCUCAGUUCGGAUCGGGGUCUGCAACUCGACCCCGUGAAGUCGGAGUCGCUAGUAAUCGCAGAUCAGCAACGCUGCGGUGAAUACGUUCCCGGGCCUUGUACACACCGCCCGUCACGUCAUGAAAGUCGGUAACACCCGAAGCCGGUGGCCUAACCCUUGUGGAGGGAGCCGUCGAAGGUGGGAUCGGCGAUUGGGACG
rnacentral:rRNA from 1 species